ensembl:lncRNA
GGACCACAGAGCUGGGCCUCCUCGCAGUGUCCACUUGGGUUUUUCCAUGAGGCCUCACUGGUGAAGGCUCCGCGGCUUCGGGGCUCAGGAGUGUCGUGGCGUUAGGACGCGCUGAAAAGACGAGACGGCUGGAAGGGAACUCUCCUUGUGCAACCUUAAGGCUGCAGCCUUAAUGCCUUGAGUCACCACACGGCCGCUUGGUUCCGGUUAGUGUCCUCACUGUGGCAGGGAUGUUAGCCAGACGAAGGGGCUUUGCUGGUGACUCACCUGAUUCAAGGCCAUCUGCCCGGGGGAGGAGGGGGGGAGACCACAAAAAGACCACAACACACAACACCCGCAGAUGAAUAGAUAUAUCACCUCGCAGAUCCAGUUACGACGAGUCAACAAUGGACACAAAAGGCUCAAUGUACACGCCGGAUCAAAAAGAGCCUUCAGAUAAUGGGUCCAGAACGCUGCAGGUCUGCCCAGAACCUCUGUGGGCGAGGACAAUGCCGGCAUGGAUCUGGAUACGGUGACGUCUCCUAUUGCUCCCCGUCCCCACUCCCAAGAAGAAAAAUCCCCAUUUGAGACAAAGACGUUUGUCAAGGUCCCGUCACAGGAAAAGGGGGAUUUGAAGAUUUUCAAAAGCAGAGGCUGACAGUUCAGAUGUGGUGGAGCCUUUGCCUGGUGACACAUGGAGAUAAUAACCGUGGCAGUGACUCAAGAGUCAAAUACCAACAUUUUUCACAAAGCCAUGGUGGAAGAAGUCAUACAUUGUCACUUUAAUCACCUUCUAAACCUCGGGUAUGUCGUUUUUUUGUGGAGAAGAAAAGUCUCCACUGCUGUGGAAGACGACCGGCAAGC